rnacentral:rRNA from 1 species
ACGCACGCUGGCGGCAUGCCUAACCCAUGCAAGUCGCACGAGACCUUCGGGUCUAGUGGCGCACGGGUGCGUAACGCGUGGGAACCUGCCCUUAGGUUCGGAAUAACUCCCCGAAAGGGGUGCUAAUACCGGAUAAUGUCUUCGGACCAAAGAUUUAUCGCCUUUGGAUGGGCCCGCGUUGGAUUAGCUAGUUGGUAGGGUAAAAGCCUACCAAGGCGACGAUCCAUAGCUGGUCUGAGAGGAUGAUCAGCCACACUGGGACUGAGACACGGCCCAGACUCCUACGGGAGGCAGCAGUGGGGAAUAUUGGACAAUGGGCGAAAGCCUGAUCCAGCAAUGCCGCGUGAGUGAUGAAGGCCUUAGGGUUGUAAAGCUCUUUUACCCGGGAUGAUAAUGACAGUACCGGGAGAAUAAGCUCCGGCUAACUCCGUG